UAAUUCCUAUGCUCAUCAGCACUCUGGUAGUGCCUUGGGCUGGUUCUUUGUGGCUGUGAUGCUCCAGACUGCCCUCUCCUCCAUGUAGUAGCUACAAGGUGUUGGGGACAUUUGAUGUCUCUCAUCUUCGCCCCAUGGGAUAAUUGUGGGUACAGGAGGAGCAGAUUUGGGGUGGCACAGGGUGGGCACUCCAGAGCAGGGGUUAUCCCUGGGUGUCCAUCUGCCUUCCUGCACUGUGUGUUCCCACCUGCUUGGCUGCAGGACAGCCUUGGAGGGAAUAGAGCAGGGACCCGGAUGCUCAGUACCCACAGAGGUAUGGCAUGGCUUUGGGAUAGCCCCAUUCCUUGGCUGUGCCUCAGUUUCUCCAUCAGUGUAGUAUAUCCCUGAGAGCUCUUCAAUUGAAUUUACAAGGUGAUGUGAAAAGCUUAGUAACCUCAGAAGCCACAAGGUCUUACUCCUUGAGGAGGGGUUUUGCAGGCACAUGGAGACACCAAUCCCAUUUGGAAAGGAAGAACAGACAAAUCACAUGGGAUUUUUGUGGUGAGCUUCACAUCACCAUGCUCACAAUUAAAUAACCCCACCUUGGGUGGCACCGACGAGCAUGGGGUGCAAUGGGAAGGCUUAAAUCUGCUCGCAGGUAAGGGCCAUCAUGGGCCCCUAAUCCCGUCACUGCCUCCUCCUCCUGACGCCGAGUGACACAGCUAUUGUACACGUAAGGCAGUGACACAGAGAUGAGUUUGUCGGUUCCACCUAGUGUGAUUGCCAUUUUCUCCUCACAGAGGAGAGGAGUGAAAUUGAAGGAGAAAAGGUCAGAAAGCCCUGGUCAUCCUCUCCCCUUCUCCCAAAUCACUUGUUCCUCCGGAUGGAAAUGAGAAAUGACAGGUUCCCGUGCCGCUUGGGAUGCAGGCAGUCCCGAGUGAAACAAAAAGGAAAGCUGGUUGGAGCAGGGGUGGGUAGCAAUGAAUGUAGCCUGUUAAUAAUGCAUUUCAGAGGCACGGGAUCCUGGUUAUUGUUCGUGGCAUCUGCUAACGCCAAAGUGACAGUGACGAGUUCUUUGAUUAGAAGGAGGUCCCCACCACCUCCUCCCUCCUGGCCCUGCAGAAGGGGUUGUGGAAAGCACCACCCUUUGCCUAAAAUCCCCACUGAAUGCUUUGCAUGGGGGGCACUUGGGGAAAUGGCUCUUUUCUUGCCUUCUCUUUCCACUUUGGUGCAGAAAUGUUUCAGCUCAGGAUCAGGAUAAUCUCAUCCUGAGAGUGCUUUUUUUUGCUGGUAUUUGGGUUUCUUUCCCUCAUUCCUCACACUUUGCUCAAAGGAACCACAAUGAUGCUGUCCAUCCUCCUCAUGAUUUCAGUGCAAGCUGGCACACCCCUUUUGAAUCCCAGGUAAUGACUGAAAGCAAACACAACCAGUGGCACUUCCUUGAGUAGCCACUGACCCUGCUUUGGGCCACCUCUCCCAGGGGGGUGCUGGUGCACAUGGAAACUCCUGGGAAACGGUAGCUGCACCCACAGCAGAGGAUGCUUGGGUGGCAUGGGUCAAGGCAGCACUUGUGUCCUCCUGCCUACAAACCAUCCUGCCCACUUCUUCGUGUACUUGUAACUCUUCCCCAGGUCCCCCCUGCAAUAUCUUUAAUGGGCUGCAUGGGAUUUAUUUUUUACUCUCUUUCUGUUUGUUGAAGAAAGAAACUUUUUGACAGGAAACAUGGGGAGAGAAAUCCUAUCUUUUCCUGGGGGAAAAAUAAGUGCCAGUUUUGUUCAUCUCUAUUUCUGUGUCAAUGGGGUUCUUAAAAAGAGAGAUUGUGCCUGGGGUCCCCAUCUCAAUAGACAAAAAGCCUCAUGACUGACAGCAUGAAUUCAGUGAUUUUACUGCAUUCUGGGUAGGAGGAGGAAACACAGAAACAAGAGCAAGAGAAACACACGCUGCCCAGGUAGAAACUGUUUCCCAGCGCUGUGAUUUUUCCUGAGAACUGAAAUCAGCAGCAUCUGGGCUGGGAGGAUGGCAGCUGGCAGGGGGCAAGCUGGGCUGAAAUACCCACAGAUAUGUAGCGGCUGGAGGUGUCUUCUGUAGGUGUUUCUACCUGGUCUUCAGUAAAACGAAAGAAGCAACAGCAAAUCCAGUUCAGAUUGGAUGUAAGAAAACCUCUUUCUAAUUGAUGGUGACCAAGCACUGGAAGAAGCACCUGAGGUGUGAGGGAAUCUCCAUCCUUGGACAGUUUAAAAUUCAUCUGAAGAAGGCCUUGAGCAGGCAGAUGCUCCGUGAAGGCAGUGGUUUUCUGCAGGAGCACAGUGAACCUCCUCCUUGCUUUCCUCAUCUGCUCCCCCAUCACCUCCCUGUGCAGAUCCAGGUUUGGAAGGUGAUUUACAGCUGCAUCCUUUGGCAGAGCGCUCUGCUAAUGCAUAACUGUGCUACAGCCACUCAUGGGAAGGCACUUGGCUGCAGUGCAGAUUUUGGGCUCUUGUGCACGCAGGAUCUGCCACCCAGCACCUCCAUGUGUUCAUCAUCCCGUUCACACAUCAGCAGCACAGUCCUUUCCUUGCCAGCGAGGAUGAAAAAAGCCCAUGGCCAAAGCUCUGUGCUUAGAGUGUUUGCUCCAGUGUGUUUUCCUCUUUGGGAACAGGAUGGCUUCUAGGUGCCUUUAUUCAAUACCCAGGCUUGUUGGUGCUGGUUUCUUGACCAAAGCCAGGCUAAACUAAAGAUAAGAAGCCGAUGAGCUGCAGCACCACCCCAGCAGUGAACGUGCCUGAGCUAUCAAAGAGGUCUCCAUGGCAAGUCUACUCCUCAGGCAGGAACUUUUCCAGCCACUGAGCUCUCCUUUCCCUGGGUGCUGCCAUUUCCAUGCUAAGCUGUACGGUUAUAGAUUUUAAGAUAAGAUGCUUUUGUUUCCCAGUUCUGAGUUACCAUUUGAAACCGAUAUGACAGGCCUAAGGCUACUCUAGGAAUUUGCUACAAGUUCCCAUCUCACACACGUGGUGCCAGUCAAACAGCCUCCCUCUGCCUCAGCCUAUUUACUCGCUCAGGGAUCUAUUCUUAAAAGUUAUUAGCAGAUUACUGGUUCCUCUCAACCUCGGGCACCGAUCUCCCAAAGAUACCAUUGUACUUUAAUAAGGUGCAUUUGAUAAUCCUCAGAUAAAGACAUUGAAGUGGGGGGGGGAGAGGGAGCACCGAUUCAUCUAAGGGGCACAGGCUAGGGAAGGGUUAAAUUACUCAUGUUUCUAAAUGGCUGAACUACUGUAUGUUGUAGUUUUCAACUGCAAAUCAUCUUUAAUAGCAGACAUCACGGGAUGGCUCAUUACAUUAAGCUAUUUUUCAUGCUAUCUCCUGUAAUAUCCUUUAAUCCAAUGCGUUUCAAAUCACCUCAGGCUAAAAUAAGAGACAUAGCGAUGUAAUAGCCUAGUGUAUUAGUGGGUUAAUUGCCCUGUUGUACUCUCUGGUAGAUAUCUCUGGAAUGAGUUCUAUAUUAAUUGUAAAUUGCUUAAUACAUUUAACUCCUUGA